AAGGUAGCGAACGUUCAUUGGCUGCGAAGAGGAGAGAAAGGGAGCAACGGGAUUGGCUGGUUUCACGCAGAAAUGCCAGCCAAUCGGAAAGCGGCAAAGCACUAUAAAAGGCGCACGCGUCGGCGUUUCGCUCUUUCGUGCCUUUGCUCCGUCGGAAUGAGGUGACUCGUGGGCGGUUGGUCCUUUGGCUCGCUUCCUGGUCGGAGCGACAUGCGGCCGCGGUGCCUGCAUUUACUCCAAGGCUCUAGAACCCAGCGGGGCCUUUCGAUUUCAAAAUAUACCUGAAGAUGAGAGGAGGAAGAUUUAAUGGAAUUGAUGGACAAACCUGCUGGUGGACACUUUGCCAAUUGAGAGCGUGGGUAAUGGGGAGAAGUGAUGGACCAAAUUUAUAGAUGAAACUCAAGCUAUGUAAGAAGACAAGUGUGCCUAGGGAGGUCCAUGUGACAUUUGUGAGGAGAACAAUAAGGGAUGAAAUAUUGAAGAGAGUGAGGGAAGAACCAUUACAAUACAGAAAAAAGGAAAUCAGGGUGUUGGCUUCCCUUGGAAGAUAAGAGGUCUAAGACGACUUAUCAGUUUUUGACAACAAAGCUGAAUGAAAAGGAAUACAUUUUAAAUGGCCGAUACCUGAAGGAAUCCUAAUUAACUGGAAGUCUAGAAGAUAUAGAGUGGAUUCUCUUUUUAUGAGAGACAUGCAAGCAUUUUUGCACAUGGUGCACAAGAUAAGGAACCCAAAAGAAAACUGAGUUCAUAUGCUAAUAUGGUGGCAUUGUAGUCAGACAGCGCUGAAAGGCGUGGAGGAUGUGGUUGAGUUCGCCCCUCCUGAAUGACCUGAUUGGUCUGAGCUCCCAGCCCCUCAGUGAAAGACUCCCAGGUAUGUUUCCAGCUGGGUAACGUCAGAUCAAAAUGGGACAAGGGAAAAGGAAGCAGAUGGAAAUAGAAGAGGACAGGAAUUGCAGCAUAGGUGGACUUAUAUCCUUCAACUGAACUACCUUUCUCAACAAAUGGAGGCAAAGAUCGUUUCUAUUUAAAGGUUUAAGUGACACCAGGAGUAAAAUGUUGACUGAAGUAGUGGAAGUUGGCAAAAGCUGCUUUGUGUUGACAAUGGU